UGGGGAAUUUUGCACAAUGGGGGAAACCCUGAUGCAGCGACGCCGCGUGAUUUAGAAGGCCUUCGGGUUGUAAAAAUCUUUUCUAUGGGAAGAAAAUGACAGUACCAUAGGAAUAAGGACCGGCUAAUUACGUGCCAGCAGCCGCGGUAAUACGUAGGGGGCUAGCGUUGUCCGGAAUCACUGGGCGUAAAGGGUUCGCAGGCGGAAUAACAAGUCAGAUGUGAAAGGCAUGGGCUCAACCCAUGUAAGCAUUUGAAACUGUAAUUCUUGAGAAGUGGAGAGGUAAGUGGAAUUCCUAGUGUAGCGGUGAAAUGCGUAGAUAUUAGGAGGAAUACCUGUGGCGAAGGCGACUUACUGGACACAAAUCUGACGCUGAGGAACGAAAGCGUGGGUAGCAAACAGG
rnacentral:rRNA from 1 species